AUUGAACGCUGGCGGCAGGCCUAACACAUGCAAGUCGAGCGGAUGAAGGGAGCUUGCUCCUGGAUUCAGCGGCGGACGGGUGAGUAAUGCCUAGGAAUCUGCCUGGUAGUGGGGGAUAACGUCCGGAAACGGGCGCUAAUACCGCAUACGUCCUGAGGGAGAAAGUGGGGGAUCUUCGGACCUCACGCUAUCAGAUGAGCCUAGGUCGGAUUAGCUAGUUGGUGGGGUAAAGGCCUACCAAGGCGACGAUCCGUAACUGGUCUGAGUGGAUGAUCAGUCACACUGGAACUGAGACACGGUCCAGACUCCUACGGGAGGCAGCAGUGGGGAAUAUUGGACAAAGGGCGAAAGCCUGAUCCAGCCAUGCCGCGUGUGUGAAGAAGGUCUUCGGAUUGUAAAGCACUUUAAGUUGGGAGGAAGGGCAGUAAGUUAAUACCUUGCUGUUUUGACGUUACCAACAGAAUAAGCACCGGCUAACUUCGUG
rnacentral:rRNA from 1 species